UGAACUGGUGGCUGAUCACCUGAAUCCAAUGACGGACUGAGCAGAGUCGAGGCUGAGUUGCAGCCUGAUUCUAGGCUGGUGCUCCCCCAGAAUUUACCAGAAGUUCUCUGAGGACUUUCCAGAUCUCCAAAAGCCCUGCUGGUCUCUGCCUCUCAGAAGUGGUCUUCCAUGGAUGCCAGGCCUGGGGUUUUCAGCCUUUGGGCCAUGCAUGGAUGCAGCAAAUGUUCCCUGGGUCAGGCAGUGGAGCAGCAGUAAUGCAGCUGGGCUCACAUGGUUUCAGCUCCAGAAUCUCCCCGAGUAUGACUGGGACACGUGUGUGCCUGUGAUCUGGACUGGCUGAGCUU